rnacentral:lncRNA from 1 species
CACACCAUCCUUAGGGUGCAAGUAUUGAACCUCACCAUUAGGAAACACCCUGUAAAACCUGUAGUUAAUCUUGUACUUUGACCUAAGCCUAGUACCAAGUGCUAAACACUGCUCUUUCCUCGCCAAUUUCAGCAAAUUAGCACCUUCCCUCAUAAUAGCUGCACCACCAGUUGGCAUCUCAAAGAUCUGUUCUUUAGGUGAUUCCCAAGUAAUUACGUAAAACUCCUCAACUUGGGCCUUGCGGAGAAGCCCACCGGUGCUGCCACCGAAGAUUGGGGAAGGUGUGUUUGGGUCCAAUUGUGGUGGGGUAAAGCCCACUGGAGCCUCUGCUUCUUUUGUGGCGGCUUCUUCGGCCAUGGCUCUAAUGGGACGGGGAGCGGAAACAGUGGAUUUGAGUUGCUUAGGAGAGAAGGAAGCAAGGGAUUGUUUCCAUGGGGCUGAAGAUUUUGGGGCAGAGAGAGCUGGAGUGAAGAGAGAAGCUUGAGUUGCCAUGGCCAUUGUAGAAUUAUUGGCUUAGAAAAGUGGAGGAAAUGGAGAAGUAUUUGUGCAGAAUGAGAAUGAGAUAAGAGAGUUCAUUUUUUGUUAUUCAGAUAUAUGUGGUGG